UUACACACGGAGACAGCCUUUGGUUUGUCUCAGCAGAGCGCUUGGGAAGGUCGAGAAGGCCGAUUUCCCUCGGUGGGAAUGUCACGAAAGUAAUGCUUGGGGACCAGCAAUGAGCCUGUUGAAGGUCAGCACAAGAUCCCUUGAGCCAGGUGGUGAAGGGUGAUGCAGUAACCCCUCAGCUAGGUUGGAAACCUCAAGAGGCCCAAAUCAUCGAAGUUCAAUACACAAGGUGGCAACAGCCAUA
rnacentral:RNase_P_RNA from 2 species